rnacentral:lncRNA from 1 species
CUUAUCACCCCCUCCUAUUUAUCUGAGAAGAGGUCAGAAACUGACAUUGUAUAUUCAUCCCUGGCCCCCAGAACCUGUCACUACACCUUUACUUACCAACAGACCCUGUCACCAGACACAGCUGCCUCACUGCCAAAGACAGUUUAAUGGAUGCAGAUAGUGAUGAACUUCACAGAGGCUGGUGUUCCGAGGGUGCGGGCAGCCACCUGUGCUAUUGUAGUGGGGAGUGCCCUCCUCCUUGUAACCUGUACAGAGACAUCAUGCACUGCUCUGGCAUGACUAUGGUUUCUGAGCAGCUGCUGGACUUAAUUAAAUGGCCCUCCGUGGGUUUCUCUUGGAGAUGAUGACCCAUGUAAAACCCCCAUCCACCUGCAAAGCAGAUCCCCUAGAUGUGCCUGCUCCUGCCUGAUCCUAGCCCUGCCUCUGUCUGGAACCCACCCAGACAUGAACAGGCUUCUAAUUGCAUGGUGGCUUGCCAGGGCCUUCCCACAUCAUUAGGAUUCAUCAACAUAAUGCCUUGGCUCCAGCCACAGCUGCCCAGCCAAUCAUGGGCCACCUUGACCUCAGGAAGGAGGUGACUUGAGAUGUGAGCUCCUGCUGAGACCUCCUUUGCAUCACUGUCAAUGAGGAGGGGCUCCAGAAGGACUUGCCACCAAAAGCAUGCUGAAGCCUGCCAUCAAAUAUUGAUAAAGGGAGAGGGGAGAGGACUAUGUAAAUGAGUUAUCAAUGGCCAGGCCUGGCUCUCAGGCCCUGCAGUCAGGGAGGGGCCUACAUGGUGGGCUUGCUGUUAUUGUUGGUUUUUGGUGAAACUCCUUAUUUGAUUUAUUGACUUGAAUUAAUUUUUAUUGGUUAUUUUCUUUAUUUAAAUUUCACAUGUUAUCCCCCUACCUGGUUCCUUCCCUGCAACCCCUCCCCCCCCUCGAAGCCAACCAUUGGAUUGAACCAAGGUCCCUAACAGAGGAGUUAGAGAAAGGACUGAAGGCUGUUUCUUUAAAACAGGGGCACUCAGGUUAUUUUUACUCUGAAACAAUUUGUGGAGCAUGUUUGUUAGAUUAGGCUCAUGAGGCAAACACCACACAGGCAUUCAAGGUCAGAGCCACUAGCUUGCCACAUGGGUGACCUGCCUUCCCAGGAGGAGAGGGUGAGGCCUGAACCACAUGCUCCUAAGGCAGCCCAGGCUGGGCCUAUAGACUGCAAGCCCUAGAGGCAAUGAGGAAUGGGGAUGGGAAGCAGGUAUGUGAGACAAGAAACUUCUGGAAGAUUUCUUACCUUUUGAGCUUAGUGAGACCUUUGAGAAUGUUCUGAGCUUUCAGCAGCAUUGUGUUGUGUUACUUAGGGCUCUUACACUGUCUCCUUUUAUCCUACAUGCGCCUGUGCCCACCCUGUUAGGAGACAGUUUCCUGAGUCCAGUCAUCUCAGAAACUCCUUGGAAUACCUUGCUGACAGGGUCAAAACUGAGUUUAUGUUCCUAGGCUCCACAACCUAACUCCUUCCUGUUCUGCUCCUUCAAGUGUUCCAGGUAGGAAUCCCUGGGCAGCCAACAUGGGUGAC